UACUUAAUUAGUUUAUGAAAAAUAUUAAUUUGUGGUAUUAAAGAUGACACUUCAUUAAGUAA
rnacentral:tRNA from 1 species